AAGAAAGGGAUCAUCCUUCCAGCCGUUAGAUACACCAGACGUCACCAUGCUGUUUUUGAGGUUACAUUUACUGGAGUAUAAAAACACCCUUUCCGUGAAUAACAGCUUUUUCUUUGCAAUUUCAAACAUACAUAUUUAAGGACACUUUUCGCCCUGAUUUAACAAACGCCGUCAUGCUGAUGAAAGCCGAAACGUUAACUCUCGUUUUUAUUUCUCUCUGCUCUGAUGCCAGAGGUGCUGAGUAUUCCCAGCAUUGCCUUUUGUUUGUUAUUGUCCAGAUCUGAACUGAUCAGUCCAAGCUGUAUAAAGAAAUAAUAUGUGAUUAUAAAAUCACUGCGUCACAACUGCCCAAAUUUAAACUUCCGUUAUGUUAAAAAAAAAUGAAACGUUAAGUGUUCAAUUUUGACUGCAACUCAGAUUACGUUAGUCUGUCUCACUGAAUCAGCAACGAGAUCCUGAAAAACAUUGGGCCAUUUCCAAAUCUUGGGAGCCUCCUCUCAACAAAGGCAUGCUGACAUUCAUUCAUUGUCACUUCCGAUCAGCCAACCAAACAGUUCAGCUGACUGAGGAAAAGAUUGAGGGCCAGAAUCUCAAACCCAAGACAGGUUCAAGGUUUGAUGGACAGCAGUGAGCCGCUCUGUUCUACACACUUGAGAGACCCGCAUUUGCAGGCCACUUUCCAAUCAAUGUGUUCGCAGAUGUUAUUACACACCUCUGGAACAGGUUCACAUUAGAUACUAGUAAUUUUAAGGAUCCAACAUGUGAAGAUUCGUUCAUACUUCCCACUGGAGGAAAGGAGAGACAACGUAAGUCCAGAUGUAAACGACAUUGGUGAACUGUACACUACUGUAUAUAACUUUUCAA